GGUUAAGUUAGAAAGGGCGCACGGUGGAUGCCUUGGCACUAGGAGCCGAUGAAGGACGGGACGAACACCGAUAUGCUUCGGGGAGCUGUAAGCAAGCUUUGAUCCGGAGAUUUCCGAAUGGGGAAACCCACCACUCGUAAUGGAGUGGUAUCCAUAUCUGAAUACAUAGGAUAUGAGAAGGCAGACCCGGGGAACUGAAACAUCUAAGUACCCGGAGGAAGAGAAAGCAAAUGCGAUUCCCUGAGUAGCGGCGAGCGAAACGGGAUCAGCCCAAACCAAGAGGCUUGCCUCUUGGGGUUGUAGGACACUCUGUACGGAGUUACAAAGGAACGAGGUAGAUGAAGAGGUCUGGAAAGGCCCGCCAUAGGAGGUAACAGCCCUGUAGUCAAAACUUCGUUCUCUCCUGAGUGGAUCCUGAGUACGGCGGAACACGUGAAAUUCCGUCGGAAUCCGGGAGGACCAUCUCCCAAGGCUAAAUACUCCCUAGUGACCGAUAGUGAACCAGUACCGUGAGGGAAAGGUGAAAAGCACCCCCGGAAGGGGAGUGAAAGAGAUCCUGAAACCGUGUGCCUACAAGUAGUCAGAGCCCGUUAACGGGUGAUGGCGUGCCUUUUGUAGAAUGAACCGGCGAGUUACGAUCCCGUGCAAGGUUAAGCAGAAGAUGCGGAGCCGCAGCGAAAGCGAGUCUGAAUAGGGCGAAUUGAGUACGUGGUCGUAGACCCGAAACCAGGUGAUCUACCCAUGUCCAGGGUGAAGUUCAGGUAACACUGAAUGGAGGCCCGAACCCACGCACGUUGAAAAGUGCGGGGAUGAGGUGUGGGUAGGGGGUGAAAUGCCAAUCGAACCUGGAGAUAGCUGGUUCUCUCCGAAAUAGCUUUAGGGCUAGCCUCAAGGUAAGAGUCUCGGAGGUAGAGCACUGAUUGGACUAGGGGCCCCUACCGGGUUACCGAAUUCAGUCAAACUCCGAAUGCCGAUGACUUAUCCUUGGGAGUCAGACUGCGAGUGAUAAGAUCCGUAGUCGAAAGGGAAACAGCCCAGACCGCCAGCUAAGGUCCCAAAGUAUACGUUAAGUGGAAAAGGAUGUGGAGUUGCUUAGACAACCAGGAUGUUGGCUUAGAAGCAGCCACCAUUUAAAGAGUGCGUAAUAGCUCACUGGUCGAGUGACUCUGCGCCGAAAAUGUACCGGGGCUAAACGUAUCACCGAAGCUGCGGACUGUUCUUCGAACAGUGGUAGGAGAGCGUUCUAAGGGCUGUGAAGCAAGACCGGAAGGACUUGUGGAGCGCUUAGAAGUGAGAAUGCCGGUAUGAGUAGCGAAAGAGGGGUGAGAAUCCCCUCCACCGAAUGCCUAAGGUUUCCUGAGGAAGGCUCGUCCGCUCAGGGUUAGUCGGGACCUAAGCCGAGGCCGAAAGGCGUAGGCGAUGGAUAACAGGUUGAUAUUCCUGUACCACCUCCUCACCAUUUGAGCAAUGGGGGGACGCAGGAGGAUAGGGUAAGCGCGGUAUUGGAUAUCCGCGUCCAAGCAGUUAGGCUGGGAAAUAGGCAAAUCCGUUUCCCGUGAAGGCUGAGCUGUGAUGGCGAGCGAAUUAUAGUAGCGAAGUUCCUGAUUCCACACUGCCAAGAAAAGCCUCUAGCGAGGUGAGAGGUGCCCGUACCGCAAACCGACACAGGUAGGCGAGGAGAGAAUCCUAAGGUGAUCGAGAGAACUCUCGUUAAGGAACUCGGCAAAAUGACCCCGUAACUUCGGGAGAAGGGGUGCUCUGUUAGGGUGCAAGCCCGAGAGAGCCGCAGUGAAUAGGCCCAGGCGACUGUUUAGCAAAAACACAGGUCUCUGCGAAGCCGUAAGGCGAAGUAUAGGGGCUGACGCCUGCCCGGUGCUGGAAGGUUAAGAGGAGCGCUUAGCGUAAGCGAAGGUGCGAAUUGAAGCCCCAGUAAACGGCGGCCGUAACUAUAACGGUCCUAAGGUAGCGAAAUUCCUUGUCGGGUAAGUUCCGACCCGCACGAAAGGCGCAACGAUCUGGGCACUGUCUCAACGAGAGACUCGGUGAAAUUAUAGUACCUGUGAAGAUGCAGGUUACCCGCGACAGGACGGAAAGACCCCGUGGAGCUUUACUGCAGCCUGAUAUUGAAUGUUGGUACAGCUUGUACAGGAUAGGUAGGAGCCUUGGAAACCGGAGCGCCAGCUUCGGUGGAGGCAUCGGUGGGAUACUACCCUGGCUGUAUUGACCUUCUAACCCGCCGCCCUUAUCGGGCGGGGAGACAGUGUCAGGUGGGCAGUUUGACUGGGGCGGUCGCCUCCUAAAAGGUAACGGAGGCGCCCAAAGGUUCCCUCAGAAUGGUUGGAAAUCAUUCGCAGAGUGUAAAGGCACAAGGGAGCUUGACUGCGAGACCUACAAGUCGAGCAGGGACGAAAGUCGGGCUUAGUGAUCCGGUGGUUCCGCAUGGAAGGGCCAUCGCUCAACGGAUAAAAGCUACCCCCGGGGAUAACAGGCUUAUCUCCCCCCAAGAGUCCACAUCGACGGGGAGGUUUGGCACCUCGAUGUCGGCUCAUCGCAUCCUGGGGCUGUAGUCGGUCCCAAGGGUUGGGCUGUUCGCCCAUUAAAGCGGUACGCGAGCUGGGUUCAGAACGUCGUGAGACAGUUCGGUCCCUAUCCGUCGCGGGCGCAGGAAAUUUGAGAGGAGCUGUCCUUAGUACGAGAGGACCGGGAUGGACGCACCGCUGGUGUACCAGUUGUUCUGCCAAGGGCAUCGCUGGGUAGCUAUGUGCGGACGGGAUAAGUGCUGAAAGCAUCUAAGCAUGAAGCCCCCCCCCCUCAAGAUGAGAUUUCCCAUUCCGCAAGGAAGUAAGAUCCCUGAAAGAUGAUCAGGUUGAUAGGUCUGAGGUGGAAGUGUGGCGACACAUGGAGCUGACAGAUACUAAUCGAUCGAGGACUUAACCAA
rnacentral:rRNA from 1 species